AAAAAUAUAAAAAAUUAUGUAUUUAAAAAAAUAUAAAAGUUCUGUAUAUUCACUCACUCUAUUCGAAAGGUUAAUGGUAAAUUCAAACUCCUAUUCCAUUGUCGUUCCAAUAUCAUCAUCACGCCGUUCAAUAUUUUUUGAAUUAGAUAUACCUAAUUCAUUUUCUAUCAAUAUUUUUAAUUGAAUAUAAAAAUUCUGGAAGUUGCCAGGCCCUCGAAAAAUGAAGGGACCUAGGCGCGCCAGUAAUUGAUAAAAGCGCCAUUGCCCAGCUUAUCCGUGUAGCACCCAUGCCUAUUACAUAGGCAUUGGUAUGGAUAAUCGGCCCGGAAACGCUUCGGCUUUUAAUCUAGAGAACCCGGAUCGAAUCCAGACCAGAAAAGUACUGCCCGAUCUCUUCUAAAGGUAUUGGUCACUUAUUAAUCGACGAAUAUUAGAAGGUGGCGUAAUAAAUGGUCGAGGCAGCCAAGCAAAUUUACCAAUAAUUCAAUUCGAUGUACUUUUUCAAUAAUUUUAUUGGUAAAAUCAUAAUUUAGUAGUAAUGUACUGUAUAUAUAUAUAUAUUUUUGUCGGAUGGUCGAAUGUUUCAUUAAAUUUUAUUAUGGCUACAGAUUCUAUCCUUACCAAAAUAUAUCCGAUCUAACCAUUCAAUUCCGACGAUUUUUUCGAUUCCGGGAUUCAGGAUUAGCGAAUGAAAGAAAUCCCGGAAUUUCAUUUGCUAAUCCUGAAUCUAAGUGGGUUUCUAUUAUAUUUUUCAUUUCAUCCAAAAGAUGUUAUCGACAUCUAUCACAAAAACAUCCCGGAAUUUUUUUUUAAUUAAAAUAAUUGUAAACAAUCAUUUACCGUUUCUUUGGCAUAAUUCCUCCCUCUUUUUGACAUUUUUCAUUAAUACGUCCAAGUACGGACGUAGAAAAUUAGAUCAAUUUUAUUAUACGAAACUAAUAUAAGCAAUGCCGAAUUAGUUCAUUUUUUGGGGGGCCAAUAUAGAUAUAUUCUAGCUCGUCAACCCAAUAGAUGAUGUAGGGUUGUCAACAUCAGUAAGUGACGGGAUCGACAGGCCCGGACUGCACAAUAAAUCAAAGAACUCGAACUCGGAUCCUCCAGGUCGAAGCAUUUCCAUGUGGCUGAUCCGGCCGACGAAUUAACUCCAUUAUAACAGGAAGAUUAGGAAAAUUCAAUAGCGAAAAAUAAGACACCUCUUAUCGUCAACUUUUGUUUCAGUUCAAUAUAAGACUCAUCGAUGUACUGUACAUAUCUAUGUUAAGACUUAAAAGAUCUAAGGCUGUGUUCGAAAUAUCGAAACUACUAUUGCCGAGACUACUACUGAUAAGACUACUAACGGCCGUAUUUACCAUCUCGAGUUGUUGGAAGAGUUAGAGUUACAUGAGGAGUUAUAUCUAAAUUCGUAUUCGCCAACUUCGUUCCGAGUCAUAUGAAACAACCUCGAGUCGAAUGAACUACCCUAGCUG
rnacentral:lncRNA from 1 species